CUGACACUCCAGAAUGCAGCAGAACUUACAAAAGCAUUGCAAAAGCAAAAUGUGGCUUAAGUGAUAACACUCUCACUGACGGAGAAGACUGUGGUAUUGUUGACUUUUCGUACCACCAUGAGUCUGAAAAAGAUACUAAAGAUAGGAUGAAGAUAACUUGUCCAAUUCGCAAGAAACUUUGCCAUGAAACAGCAAGUAAUCUUGAAAAAAAUGCAAAAUUCAUGGUUAAAAAGUAUAAUAAACAAAAAAAAUUUAAAGUUACAGUUUUCAAAGAAGGUGAUCAUGUCAGUGUGGCUAUACCAAAAUCAUUGCGUAA
rnacentral:lncRNA from 1 species